CCUACGGGCGGCAGCAGUGGGGAAUAUUGGACAAUGGGGGGAACCCUGAUCCAGCCAUGCCGCGUGUGUGAAGAAGGCCCUCGGGUUGUAAAGCACUUUCAGUGAGGAAGAACGCCUGGUGGUUAAUACCCAUCAGGAAAGACAUCACUCACAGAAGAAGCACCGGCUAACUCCGUGCCAGCAGCCGCGGUAAUACGGAGGGUGCGAGCGUUAAUCGGAAUUACUGGGCGUAAAGCGCGCGUAGGUGGCUUGAUAAGCCGGUUGUGAAAGCCCCGGGCUCAACCUGGGAACGGCAUCCGGAACUGUCAAGCUAGAGUGCAGGAGAGGAAGGUAGAAUUCCCGGUGUAGCGGUGAAAUGCGUAAAGAUCGGGAGGAAUACCAGUGGCGAAGGCGGCCUUCUGGACUGACACUGACACUGAGGUGCGAAAGCGUGGGUAGCAAACAGGAUUAGAUACCCGUGUAGUC
rnacentral:rRNA from 1 species